GACGAACGCUGGCGGCGUGCUUAACACAUGCAAGUCGAACGGUGAAGCAGAGCUUGCUCUGUGGAUCAGUGGCGAACGGGUGAGUAACACGUGAGUAACCUGCCCUUGACUCUGGGAUAAGCGUUGGAAACGACGUCUAAUACCGGAUACGAGCUGAGACCGCAUUGUCAUCAGUUGGAAAGAUUUUUUGGUCAAGGAUGGACUCGCGGCCUAUCAGCUUGUUGGUGAGGUAAUGGCUCACCAAGGCGACGACGGGUAGCCGGCCUGAGAGGGUGACCGGCCACACUGGGACUGAGACACGGCCCAGACUCCUACGGGAGGCAGCAGUGGGGAAUAUUGCACAAUGGGCGCAAGCCUGAUGCAGCAACGCCGCGUGAGGGAUGACGGCCUUCGGGUUGUAAACCUCUUUUAGUAGGGAAGAAGCGAAAGUGACGGUACCUGCAGAAAAAGCACCGGCUAACUACGUG
rnacentral:rRNA from 1 species